GAUCCAGUGGCGAAGUGGUCUCGCAUCCGCUCAGUUUGCGAUACCAUCGAAUAGGUUUCUGCGGAAGACACCCGUUCGAUUCGGGUCUGGGUCA